ACGGACGGGUGAGUAACACGUGGGUAACCUGCCUGUAAGACUGGGAUAACUCCGGGAAACCGGGGCUAAGUACCGGAUGCUUGUUUGAACCGCAUGGUUCAACAUAAAAGGUGGCUUCGGCUACCACUUACAGAUGGACCCGCGGCGCAUUAGCUAGUUGGUGAGGUAACGGCUCACCAAGGCAACGAUGCGUAGCCGACCUGAGAGGGUGAUCGGCCACACUGGGACUGAGACACGGCCCAGACUCCUACGGGAGGCAGCAGUAGGGAAUCUUCCGCAAUGGACGAAAGUCUGACGGAGCAACGCCGCGUGAGUGAUGAAGGUUUUCGGAUCGUAAAGCUCUGUUGUUAGGGAAGAACAAGUGCCGUUCAAAUAGGGCGGCACCUUGACGGUACCUAACCAGAAAGCCACGGCUAACUACGUGCCAGCAGCCGCGGUAAUACGUAGGUGGCAAGCGUUGUCCGGAAUUAUUGGGCGUAAAGGGCUCGCAGGCGGUUUCUUAAGUCUGAUGUUGAAAGCCCCCGGCUCAACCGGGGGAGGGUCUCAUUGUGAAAUCUGGUGGUAACUUGAGUGCAGAAGAGGAGAGUGGAAUUCCACGUGUAGCGGUGUAAAUGUGUAGAGAUGUGGAGGAUAUCACCAUGUGGCGAAGUGCGACUCUCUGGUCUGUAAUCUGAUCGUCUGAGGACGCGAAAGCGUGGGGAUGUCGAACAGGAUUAGAUACCCUGGUAGUCCACGCCGUAAACGUAUGAGUGCUGAAGUGUUAGGGGGUUUCCGCCCCUUAGUGCUGCAGCUACGCAUUAAGCACUCCGCCUGGGGAGUACGGUCGCAAGACUGAAACUCAAAGGAAUUGACGGGGGCCCGCACAAGCGGUGGAGCAUGUGGUUAAUUCGAAGCAACGCGAAGAACGUUACCAGGUGUUGACAUCCUCUGACAACCCC
rnacentral:rRNA from 1 species